GAUGAACGCUGGCGGCGUGCCUAAUACAUGCAAGUCGAGCGAACGGACGAGAAGCUUGCUUCUCUGAUGUUAGCGGCGGACGGGUGAGUAACACGUGGAUAACCUACCUAUAAGACUGGGAUAACUUCGGGAAACCGGAGCUAAUACCGGAUAAUAUUUUGAGCCGCAUGGUUCAAAAGUGAAAGACGGUCUUGCUGUCACUUAUAGAUGGAUCCGCGCUGCAUUAGCUAGUUGGUAAGGUAACGGCUUACCAAGGCAACGAUGCAUAGCCGACCUGAGAGGGUGAUCGGCCACACUGGAACUGAGACACGGUCCAGACUCCUACGGGAGGCAGCAGUAGGGAAUCUUCCGCAAUGGGCGAAAGCCUGACGGAGCAACGCCGCGUGAGUGAUGAAGGUCUUCGGAUCGUAAAACUCUGUUAUUAGGGAAGAACAUAUGUGUAAGUAACUGUGCACAUCUUGACGGUACCUAAUCAGAAAGCCACGGCUAACUACGUGCCAGCAGCCGCGGUAAUACGUAGGUGGCAAGCGUUAUCCGGAAUUGUUGGGCGUAAAGCGCGCGUAGGCGGUUUUUUAAGUCUGAUGUGAAAGCCCACGGCUCAACCGUGGAGGGUCAUUGGAAACUGGAAAACUUGAGUGCAGAAGAGGAAAGUGGAAUUCCAUGUGUAGCGGUGAAAUGCGCAGAGAUAUGGAGGAACACCAGUGGCGAAGGCGACUUUCUGGUCUGUAACUGACGCUGAUGUGCGAAAGCGUGGGGAUCAAACAGGAUUAGAUACCCUGGUAGUCCACGCCGUAAACGAUGAGUGCUAAGUGUUAGGGGGUUUCCGCCCCUUAGUGCUGCAGCUAACGCAUUAAGCACUCCGCCUGGGGAGUACGACCGCAAGGUUGAAACUCAAAGGAAUUGACGGGGACCCGCACAAGCGGUGGAGCAUGUGGUUUAAUUCGAAGCAACGCGAAGAACCUUACCAAAUCUUGACAUCCUUUGACAACUCUAGAGAUAGAGCCUUCCCCUUCGGGGGACAAAGUGACAGGUGGUGCAUGGUUGUCGUCAGCUCGUGUCGUGAGAUGUUGGGUUAAGUCCCGCAACGAACGCAACCCUUAAGCUUAGUUGCCAUCAUUAAGUUGGGCACUCUAAGUUGACUGCCGGUGACAAACCGGAGGAAGGUGGGGAUGACGUCAAAUCAUCAUGCCCCUUAUGAUUUGGGCUACACACGUGCUACAAUGGACAAUACAAAGGGCAGCGAAACCGCGAGGUCAAGCAAAUCCCAUAAAGUUGUUCUCAGUUCGGAUUGUAGUCUGCAACUCGACUACAUGAAGCUGGAAUCGCUAGUAAUCGUAGAUCAGCAUGCUACGGUGAAUACGUUCCCGGGUCU
rnacentral:rRNA from 1 species